CUAAGCUACUAAGGGCAAACGGUGGAUGCCUUGGUGUCAAGUGACGAAGAAAGACGUGGACAGCUGCGAAAAGCUUCGGGGAGGGGCUGAACACCCUUUGAUCCGGAGAUGUCUGAAUGGGGCAACCCGGCAUGGAUAAUACCGUGUCAUCCCUGGAUGAAUUCAUAGUUCAGGGAAGGUAACGGGGAGAACUGAAACAUCUUAGUACCCCCAGGAGUAGAAAGUAACAACGAUUUUCCAAGUAGCGGCGAGCGAAAGGGAAACAGCCCAAACCGAUUACGUGUCAAGCCCGAAAGCGUUGCGUAAACGGGGUCGUGGGAUAUGAUUUGGCAGGGUUUCGGACCUGCCGGAGAGUGACAAAAUUGAUUGUUAGUUGAAGAAGCUGGAAAGCUUUACCAUAGAAGGUGACAGUCCUGUAAGCAAAAGCAAUCGAUCUCUCUUAUCGUACACCCAAGUACUGCGGAACACGAGGAAUUCUGUGGGAAUUAGUGAGGACCAUCUCAUAAGGCUAAAUACGACUUGACAACCGAUAGUGUACCAGUACCGUGAGGGAAAGGUGAAAAGAACCCCUGUUAGGGGAGUGAAAUAGUACCUGAAACCGUUUGCUUACAAGCUGUGGGAGCAUAUACUUGUAUGUGUGACCGCGUGCCUUUUGCAUAAUGAGUCAGCGAGUUACUUAAUGCAGCCAGGUUAAGCCGAUAGGUGUAGCCGUAGCGAAAGCGAGUCUUAACAGGGCGAUCAGUUGCAUUGAGUAGACCCGAAACCAGGUGAUCUAUCCAUGUCCAGGGUGAAGCGCCAGUAAAAUGGUGUGGAGGCCCGAACCGAUACAGGUUAAAAACUGUUCGGAUGAGGUGUGGAUAGGGGUGAAAGGCCAAACAAACCUGGAGAUAGCUGGUUCUCUCCGAAAUAUAUUUAGGUAUAGCCUCGUAUGUUUCUUACCGGAGGUAGAGCACUGGAUGGGCUAGGGGUCUCACCAGAUUACCAAACCUAACCAAACUCCGAAUACCGGUAAGUGAAGUACGGGAGUCAGCCCGCGGGAGCUAAGUUCCGCGGACGAGAGGGAAACAACCCGGACCGCCAGCUAAGGUCCCCAAAUCUAUGCUAAGUGGAGAAGGAUGUGGGAAUGCCCAGACAACCAGGAGGUUGGCUUAGAAGCAGCCAUCCUUUAAAGAAAGCGUAACAGCUCACUGGUCGAGUGGAUCUGCGCCGAAAAUGUAUCGGGGCUCAAGCAUAGUACCGAAGCUGCGGGAUGUAGCAAUACAUCGGUAGGAGAGCAUUGUGUUGCCAUAGAAUCGCACCUGCGAGGGUGUGUGGAGGUGACACAAGAGACCAUGCUGACAUGAGUAGCGAUAAAGCGGGUGAGAGGCCCGCUCGCCGAAAGCCCAAGGUUUCCUGAGUAAAGCUAAUCUGCUCAGGGUUAGUCGAUCCCUAAGGCGAGGCCGAGAGGCGUAGUCGAUGGAAAACAGGUUAAUAUUCCUGUACCACCUCGUUGUCGUUUGAGAGAAGGGGGGACGCAGGAGGGCAGGUCAUCCGUCUGUUGGAAUAGGCGGUUCAAGCUGGUAGGCUUAAGUUCCAGGCAAAUCCGGAACUUUUCAAGGCCGAGAAGUGAUGAGGAGGGGCUAUGCCCCAUAAACUGACUGCACCCAUGCUGCCAAGAAAAGCCUCUAUCGAGAUAACAGGUGAUCGUACCGUAAACCGACACAGGUAGGCAGGGAGAGUAUCCCAAGGCGCUUGAGAGAACUCUGGUUAAGGAACUCGGCAAAAUCAUACCGUAACUUCGGGAGAAGGUAUGCCCCUGAUGGUGAUUAUAAUUCUAUAUGAGCUGUGGGGGGCCGCAGAGAAAUGGUGGUAGCGACUGUUUACUAAAAACAUAGGACUCUGCAAAGUCGUAAGACGAGGUAUAGGGUCUGACGCCUGCCCGGUGCCGGAAGGUUAAGGGGAUUUGUUAGCGUAAGCGAAGCACUGAACCGAAGCCCCGGUAAACGGCGGCCGUAACUAUAACGGUCCUAAGGUAGCGAAAUUCCUUGUCGGGUAAGUUCCGACCUGCACGAAUGGCGUAACGACUUCCACACUGUCUCAACCAGGGACUCAGCGAAAUU
rnacentral:rRNA from 1 species